rnacentral:rRNA from 1 species
UACGAAGGGGGCUAGCGUUGUUCGGAAUUACUGGGCGUAAAGGGCGCGUAGGCGGCCAUUCAAGUUAGGUGUGAAAGCCCUGGCUCAACCUAGGAAUUGCACUUGAUACUGUUUGGCUUGAGUUCGGGAGAGGUGAGUGGAAUUCCCAGUGUAGAGGUAGAAAUUCGUAGAUAUUGGGAAGAACACCAGUGGCGAAGGCGGCUCACUGGACCGACACUGACGCUGAGGCGCGAAAGCGUGGGGAGCAACAGG